rnacentral:rRNA from 1 species
GACAGAGGUGGCAAGCGUUGUUCGGAUUCAUUGGGUGUAAAGGGCAGGUAGGUGGCUAUGCAAGUCUGGUGUGAAAUCCCAGGGCUCAACCCUGGAACUGCAUUGGAAACUGUAUGGCUUGAGUACCGGAGAGGUGAGGGGAAUUCUCGGUGUAAGGGUGAAAUCUGUAGAUAUCGAGAGGAACACCAGUGGCGAAGGCGCCUCACUGGCCGGUUACUGACACUGAGCUGCGAAAGCAAGGGGAGCAAACAGG